rnacentral:lncRNA from 1 species
UAGAAUGAAAGCCAACAACGACAAGAUAAAAAGCAAGAUUGAUACCCAACAAGAUAAAAAGAAAAAAGUAAAGUAAAGUUGUUUGUCUUAUUGUAAAAGUAGUAGUGAAUUAUUAAAGUAUGUAAAUUAUUGACAGAAAAGUGUCGUGUAAAUUAGUGUGAAUUAGUGGACAAAUGUAAAGUAAAAAUAGUGUGAUGUAAAGUUAGUGGACAGAUGUAGUGGAC